GAUGAACGCUAGCGGCAGGCCUAACACAUGCAAGUCGAGGGGUAACUAGAGUGAUAGCAAUAUUACUUUGGCUAGACCGGCGCACGGGUGCGUAACACGUAUGCAACCUACCUUAUACUGGGGAAUAACUUCGAGAAAUCGGCGCUAAUACCCCAUAACAUUGCGAAGAGGCAUCUCUUUGCAAUUAAAGCUACGGCGGUAUAAGAUGGGCAUGCGUCCAAUUAGCUAGUUGGUGAGGUAACGGCUCACCAAGGCUACGAUUGGUAGGGGUUCUGAGAGGAUGAUCCCCCACACUGGUACUGAGACACGGACCAGACUCCUACGGGAGGCAGCAGUGAGGAAUAUUGCGCAAUGGACGGAAGUCUGACGCAGCCAUGCCGCGUGCAGGAUGACGGCCCUAUGGGUUGUAAACUGCUUUUGUACGGGAAUAAACCCUUCUACGUGUAGGAGGCUGAAGGUACCGUAAGAAUAAGCACCGGCUAACUACGUGCCAGCCGCCGCGGUAA
rnacentral:rRNA from 1 species